rnacentral:rRNA from 1 species
GAUCAACGCUGGCGGCGUGCCUAACACAUGCAAGUCGCGCGCGAAAGGGGGGCAACCCCCGAGUAAAGCGGCGAACGGGUGAGUAACACGUGGGUAAUCUACCUUCGAGUGGGGAACAACAUCGGGAAACUGGUGCUAAUUCCGCAUGACAUCGUCGGGGCUUCGGUUCCGACGCUCAAAGCUGGGGAUCGUAAGACCUAGCGCUUGAAGAUGAGCCCGCGUCCGAUUAGCUAGUGGCGGGGUAAUAGCCCACCAAGGCUCCGAUCGGUAGCCGGCCUGAGAGGGCGGACGGCCACACUGGAACUGAGACACGGUCCAGACUCCUACGGGAGGCAGCA